UGAUAAUUUCUUUUUCUACGUUACAUUAGACCUGAUAUGUAUCAAAAUUUUCCCGUUUGGGAUGCAAUUUGUGUCGAAACAUUUCUUGUAUGUAAGAUUUCAUAUAACAGCUGUAACUUGUUGUUCGAAGUUGUCACGUUUUUAUGUUAGUUUUUGGAGAAGCUGUAGGCACUACCCGUGUUUGAGGUUUUGAGGGAAGCCUUGAGUGGUGAUGCUCGUGGCAACGAAGAUGAGGACUCAAGAUUUUAGAAUCUGUGGCAACAACAUAAAUGUUCGAACUUUAAGUUUG
rnacentral:lncRNA from 1 species